rnacentral:sRNA from 1 species
AAGAGCACUAGGCGGAUGCCUAGGCACCAAGAGGCGAAGAAGGACGUGACAAGCUGCGAAAAGCUACGGUAAGGCGCAAGUAACCCAUAACCCGUAGAUCUCCGAAUGGGGCAACCCACCGCAUAAGCGGAAUCCUUACAUGAAUAAAU